AUUGAACGCUGGCGGCAGGCCUAACACAUGCAAGUCGAGCGGAUGAAGGGAGCUUGCUCCUGGAUUCAGCGGCGGACGGGUGAGUAAUGCCUAGGAAUCUGCCUGGUAGUGGGGGAUAACGUCCGGAAACGGGCGCUAAUACCGCAUACGUCCUGAGGGAGAAAGUGGGGGAUCUUCGGACCUCACGCUAUCAGAUGAGCCUAGGUCGGAUUAGCUAGUUGGUGGGGUAAAGGCCUACCAAGGCGACGAUCCGUAACUGGUCUGAGAGGAUGAUCAGUCACACUGGAAAUGAGACACGGUCCCGACUCCUACGGGAGGCAGCAGUGGGGAAUAUUGGACAAUGGGCGAAAGCGUGAUACAGCCAUGCCGCGUGUGUGAAGAAGAUCUUCGGAUUGUAAAGCUCUUUAAGUUGGGAGAAAGGGCAGUAAGUUAAUACCUUGCUGUUUUGACGUUACCAACAGAAUACGCACCGGCUAACUUCGUG
rnacentral:rRNA from 1 species